UGUGUAAAGAGGCACAAACACAAACUUCAAUGUAGUUAAGAGACAUUUUAUAACAAUUUUAAUUUUACAAAUUUUAUUUUUUCAAUUUUAUGGGUUGGAAUCAAAUUCAUGACCUCUUUAUCCUUCCACUCCCUUUACAAUUCUAUAAGUACUAAAAUCUAUGUGACUUGUGCAAAGAAAGUUUGAGCUUUAUACAUUAUCAAUCAAUAAAAUCAUUUUCUAUUUAUUAUAUGCAAAGGGGGAAUAAUAUAUGGAAAAAUUUAUGAAGUUUAUUUAUGUUAUGAUCUACUUUCUUUUCCUAUUUCAUGUUGCAACAAGCAUUAAGCCUGAGUGUCUUGAUGACUCUGACUGUGCACAUGUUAAGUGUAAGCCUUUAUGGAUUCCAAAGUGUAAAAGUAAUAAUCAAUGUGCUUGUUUCCUUCCAAAUCUUACCAAAAUGCCUUGGGGUCCGUUUGAUCUGGAAAAUAUAAAAAUGGGAAAGAAUAAUAUAGAACAGUACAAGAAAAAACAGCACAGGACAAACAUUUAAGGUAUUGAACAAACUUCGUGUUAUGCGAUGUUUGAUGGACAAAAGGUUAUUUGAGUAUUUUAGACAAUUUGUGCAGAUGGACAAAAAGUUACCCAAUAAUUUAAUUUUCAUUUGCUUUCUUUUUAUUA